rnacentral:rRNA from 1 species
UACGGAGGAUGCAAGCGUUAUCCGGAUUUAUUAGGUUUAAAGGGUGCGUAGGCGGGGACUUAAGUCAGUGGUAAAAGGCAAUAGCUUAACUAUUGUAAGCCAUUGAAACUGGGUUUCUUGAGUUCGGUAGAGGUAGGCGGAAUGUGUUGUGUAGCGGUGAAAUGCUUAGAUAUAACACAGAACACCGAUUGCGAAGGCAGCUUACUAUGCCGUUACUGACGCUGAUGCACGAAAGCGUGGGGAUCAAACAGG